ACCAAUUCACCAUCACUAUUUAGUGCUCUAGUCCCUCCAUCCAAAUCACUUCCUCACAAACAAAACCUUUUUUUUUUUUGUUUAUUUCUUGAUUUCACAUAUGUUCAAAUCCUUGAUAUCCUUCUAUGUUAAUAUUAGAUCAUGUGUGAUUCAAGACAUUUAAGAACUGUUAUUGACUUUGGCUCCUAAAUGUGUGCAAUGGCGCUCGAAGAUCGGCCACAACUAUGUGGAGCAACAUCCUUGGGGAUGGGUGGAUUCGGUAAAACAUUGAGGAUCGUACGUACAUUUCUACACAUUUUGUUCUUAUGUUUUCACUUGGUAACAUCUAUGCUGCUAUGGAAUUUCAUAGGGAUUGACGUCCAAAAACCUCCUUGUUGAUAGAAACGUUAAUCCUCAGGGAAGGGCUAUUGAGUUAUUGCUGAGUAAAGAGUAUGAUGAAAAGUGUGAUGUUUUUAGCUAUGAGGUCAUCUUAUGGGAGCUCUUAGCUUUACCAAGCAGGAACCCUGGAAAGUAGUGAAUUCAUACCGAAUUAUUUAUCAUGUUGGCGAGGAGGAUGGCCGUCUGGACAUUCCAAACAAUGUUGGAAGAAGCAAGAUUUUGCAUACAUGAAAAUUAAUCCUGCCAUUUUGUUAGCUAUGUUUGAUUUUAUUUGUUUUCCUAUUUUAAAUUACCAUCUCAUCCAUGUGAAUUGUGAAAUGAAGACACCCUUUACCUCUUUAUGUUUCAUUUGCUCUGCUGCAUUUGGAAUUUGAGCAUAAAACUUAAAGGUAACAUGAUAUGUAGUUGUAGUUAAGUAUGGAGGAUGACAUAUUUUCUUCAAAACGUAAAGAACGAUGUGAAUGUAGUCCUUUUAUGCUCCAUACAGUCUUAGAGAAAUACC